rnacentral:tRNA from 3 species
GGUCCCGUGGGGUAGCUUGGCAUCCUUGUACCUUGGGGUGGUAUAGACUCCAGUUCAAAUCUGGGCGGGACCACCA